CUCACCAAAAACCAGAGUAGGACGGUAAAAGGCAGGGAUAAGCGUAAAGACGCAAUAUCAUUCACUACAUCCAGUUAGAGUAUUAUUAGGGAAAUGCCAAUCAAAGUACUUUCUCUCAAUACGAAAGGGCUAAACACACCCCAUAAAAGGCGACUAGCACUAUUGGAAGCUAAAAAACAGAAGGCGCAGGUAGCCUUCUUCCAAGAAACACAUUUUAAAUGGGGUGCAAGGCCCAGGUUCAAUUCCCCCUGGUUCCCCAUAGACCACCAUUCCUGCUACUCCACAAAAAGAGAGGAGUCUCUAUCCUGGUUAGCAGGAAUGUAGCCUUUGAAUUGAGCCACAAAAUCAGUGACAGACAGGGCAGAUAUCUCAUCAUACAAUGCCACCUAAACAAC